UACGGGGGGGGCAAGCGUUGUUCGGAAUUACUGGGCGUAAAGGGCGCGUAGGCGGCCUGCUAAGUCGGAUGUGAAAUCCCUCGGCUCAACCGAGGAACUGCAUCCGAUACUGGCGGGCUUGAAUCCGGGAGAGGGAUGUGGAAUUCCAGGUGUAGUGGUGAAAUGCGUAGAGAUCCGGAGGAACCCCAGAGGCGAAGGCGGCGUCCUGGCUCGCAUCUGACGCUCAGACACGACAGCAUGGGGAGCGAACGGG
rnacentral:rRNA from 1 species